rnacentral:rRNA from 1 species
GAUGAACGCUGGCGGCGUGCCUAAUACAUGCAAGUCGAGCGAACAGUCGAGGAGCUUGCUCCUCUGAAGUUAGCGGCGGACGGGUGAGUAACACGUGGAUAACCUACCUAUAAGACUGGGAUAACUUCGGGAAACCGGAGCUAAUACCGGAUAAUAUAUUGAACCGCAUGGUUCAAUAGUGAAAGACGGUUUUGCUGUCACUUAUAGAUGGAUCCGCGCCGCAUUAGCUAGUUGGUAAGGUAACGGCUUACCAAGGCGACGAUGCGUAGCCGACCUGAGAGGGUGAUCGGCCACACUGGAACUGAGACACGGUCCAGACUCCUACGGGAGGCAGCAGUAGGGAAUCUUCCGCAAUGGGCGAAAGCCUGACGGAGCAACGCCGCGUGAGUGAUGAAGGUCUUCGGAUCGUAAAACUCUGUUAUUAGGGAAGAACAAAUGUGUAAGUAACUAUGCACGUCUUGACGGUACCUAAUCAGAAAGCCACGGCUAACUACGUG